rnacentral:tRNA from 1 species
GGCUCGGUAGCUUAGUUGGUUGAGUACUCGUCUAGCAUACAAGAGUUCUGGGUUCGGAUCCCAACUGAGCAC